rnacentral:rRNA from 1 species
AGUGAACGCUGGCGGUAGGCCUAACACAUGCAAGUCGAACGGCAGCACAGUAAGAGCUUGCUCUUACGGGUGGCGAGUGGCGGACGGGUGAGGAAUACAUCGGAAUCUACUUUUUCGUGGGGGAUAACGUAGGGAAACUUACGCUAAUACCGCAUACGACCUACGGGUGAAAGCAGGGGAUCUUCGGACCUUGCGCGAUUGAAUGAGCCGAUGUCGGAUUAGCUAGUUGGCGGGGUAAAGGCCCACCAAGGCGACGAUCGGUAGCUGGUCUGAGAGGAUGAUAAGCCACACUGGAACUGAGACGCGGACCAGACUCCUACGGGAGGCAGCAGUGGGGAAUAUUGGACAAUGGGCGCAAGCCUGAUACAGCCAUACCGCGUGGGUGAAGAAGGCCUUCGGGUUGUAAAGCCCUUUUGUUGGGAAAGAAAAGCAGCAGGUUAAUACCCCGCUGUUCUGACGGUACCCAAAGAAUAAGCACCGGCUAACUUCGUG